UACGGGGGGUGCGAGCGUUGUCCGGAAUCACUGGGCGUAAAGGGCGCGUAGGUGGCUCUGUAAGUUUGCGGUGAAAGCCCGGGGCUCAACCCCGGGUCUGCCGUGGAUACUGCAAGGCUUGAGUACUGUAGAGGCAGGUAGAAUAUCGGGUGUAGCGGUGGAAUGCGUAGAGGUGCGAUAGAAGACCGGUGGCGAAGGCGGUCUGCUGGGAAGUUUCUGACGCUGAUGCGCGACAGCGUGGGGAGCAAACAGG
rnacentral:rRNA from 1 species